UGGUGGGCCACCCCAGCCGGGCCCGGCUCGACUCGGCCAGAGGCGAAGGGAGGGCAGUGCCCACUGGCAGGGGCCACUCUGCUGCCCUGGCCUAGCCCACGGGGCACCCCCCCCCCACCCCUCGCAGUUCACUUUGGGGGCUUUGGCGCUGUUGGUGCUGUUCAACUCCUUGGGCAGGACAGGGUCCAGCACGAGCUGCUUGCAGGGGAUUGCAAGAAAAAAUCCUCCUCCUAGCCUGCUCAGAAAGCUACCAUCUGCUGUAAGACCUGGAACCACUGUCAUAAGUUCCAGUAUCCACUAAAAAUGAUGAAGAUCAGAGAAAAAGAAAAAUGUGCUUCUGGCUAAGACUGUUAUAUAAAAGGAAAGAAUAUGAAGAGAUCUCUAUAGUCAGCAAAGGAAGAAACAAGGACCAAGUAACCAAGAAAUCAAGAAUGACAAUGUUUUGAUCUCAAGGAGUGUGUCUAUGUCCUCCAACAGACCAGCACAGAAGUCUUCAUCUCCUGUUCUGUUUCCACACCUUCAGAAGACUCUCAGCUUCAUCACAUGGCUCUUUCCGCUGGUAUGUGAAACACCAACUUGCAGAGCACUCAGCACAGCAGGUGAUACAUUAACAAGAGAAGUUUUUUGUGCUGAGUUGCCAUUCCCUGGCACUGAACUUGUGAUUAGACUGAGUCUCCUACUUCCAGAUAUCCUGAAAGCUUCACAAAGCAGUCUCUGAACACAGACAGGAUCAAAUACUCAGAGCAUUGGAGAGACCUCAAAAAAUUGAAGGAACAGAGGGAAAGCCAAGGGAAAGCAAUAAAGGUCAACAUACUGAAGAAGAAUGAAAGAAGAACGAAAAAAGCUUACUCUCAGACUCUCAAAGAUUUGUGGAUGCCUAGAAUCCCUUAAAACUCCUGGUAUUUCACUGGGCAUUUAGGUAGCUACUGAUGCUAAAUACUUUAGACACUUACUGUGGAUGUCCAGGCAGGACUAUCCAGGGAAAUGGUGGGAUACACAAUAGUCACCUCCAUUAGAGACAUAGUGGAAACCUUCAAGGUCAAGGAAGAAAAUUCAUAAACAGGCCUGGCAACACUGCUCCUGGGAGUGCUCUGUAGAAAUAGCUGGCAGACACAGCGGCAGUUAUUGAAAACCAUGUCUCAAGUUGUUUCACCUAAGAACACUUUAGGUGUGGCACUGGAAGUUUGCAAGAGUAAUUCUGGUAAGUUUGGGGCUUUUGGUGAAAUGGGGAUAUGCACUGCUGUGGGUGAGGCGGGUUGUUUUGACUGCAUCUGUUUGCUCGUUAGUGCUAAAGAAAGGGGAUUAUUUUACUUACUGUUGAAUGGGGGUCAGGAGAAAUCCAAGAUUUGGCAGAUCACUUGCACAAGCCUGAAGUGAACACCAGCCACUGCUCACCCCAGAAACGCAAAUUUCCUGAAGGCAUGGACAUGCAAUAAAUUUUCUAGCCAAUGCAUCAAUGGCUGUAAAAGGGUGUGAAGCUUCAAACUCAGAACACCCUGAAGAACAACAUCCUCUCUUUUCUUCGGAACACAGCCCAGGUCUUUUGCCAAAGGUGUUGGUGCAGGUCUUCAUGAUCUUUGCAGAAUUGUAAAAAAGUUCUCAGAUCAACGAAAGCUCUCAGAUGAUCCUACGCUGAAGGUGAAAAACAGAAAUCUUUUCCUUCCAAACAUCCAAUUUUGAGUGUUAGUUUGGUUUGGUCAUGCUGUCCAAAGUAUAAUAGAUAAUACAUUUUAAUUGGACAAAUCCUCACCCGAAGAGUUCAAUGAUAGAAAUAAAUCUUUUUCUGGCUCUGCUGUGUUUGACAUAGGCUCAAUUCUAAUCUCAUUUACAGAAGUCUGACCACGACUGGCUGGAUUGAAAUCGACUGCCUUUUCUAGUGUGAAAAUAGGAUCAGGCCCCAUAGCUACAAUUAUGGAUAAAAAUGGUUGUAUAAAACAAGGGUUUAGGUCGAAAGGAAUUCUACUGACAAACUAAGACACAACCACCCUUUUCUGUGAGGGGAAAAAAAGGGCACUUUUUCA